rnacentral:rRNA from 1 species
ACGAACGCUGGCGGCGUGCCUAAUACAUGCAAGUCGAACGCUUCUUUUUCCACCGGAGCUUGCUCCACCGGAAAAAGAGGAGUGGCGAACGGGUGAGUAACACGUGGGUAACCUGCCCAUCAGAAGGGGAUAACACUUGGAAACAGGUGCUAAUACCGUAUAACAAUCGAAACCGCAUGGUUUUGAUUUGAAAGGCGCUUUCGGGUGUCGCUGAUGGAUGGACCCGCGGUGCAUUAGCUAGUUGGUGAGGUAACGGCUCACCAAGGCGACGAUGCAUAGCCGACCUGAGAGGGUGAUCGGCCACAUUGGGACUGAGACGCGGCCCAAACUCCUACGGGAGGCAGCAGUAGGGAAUCUUCGGCAAUGGACGAAAGUCUGACCGAGCAACGCCGCGUGAGUGAAGAAGGUUUUCGGAUCGUAAAACUCUGUUGUUAGAGAAGAACAAGGAUGAGAGUAACUGUUCAUCCCUUGACGGUAUCUAACCAGAAAGCCACGGCUAACUACGUGCCAGCAGCCGCGGUAAUACGUAGGUGGCAAGCGUUGUCCGGAUUUAUUGGGCGUAAAGCGAGCGCAGGCGGUUUCUUAAGUCUGAUGUGAAAGCCCCCGGCUCAACCGGGGAGGGUCAUUGGAAACUGGGAGACUUGAGUGCAGAAGAGGAGAGUGGAAUUCCAUGUGUAGCGGUGAAAUGCGUAGAUAUAUGGAGGAACACCCGUGGCCAACGCGCCUCUCUGGUCUGUAUCUGACGCUGAGGCUCGAAAGCGUGGGGAGCAAACAGGAUUAGAUACCCUGGUAGUCCACGCCGUAAACGAUGAGUGCUAAGUGUUGGAGGGUUUCCGCCCUUCAGUGCUGCAGCUAACGCAUUAAGCACUCCGCCUGGGGAGUACGACCGCAAGGUUGAAACUCAAAGGAAUUGACGGGGGCCCGCACAAGCGGUGGAGCAUGUGGUUUAAUUCGAAGCAACGCGAAGAACCUUACCAGGUCUUGACAUCCUUUGACCACUCUAGAGAUAGAGCUUCCCCUUCGGGGGCAAAGUGACAGGUGGUGCAUGGUUGUCGUCAGCUCGUGUCGUGAGAUGUUGGGUUAAGUCCCGCAACGAGCGCAACCCUUAUUGUUAGUUGCCAUCAUUUAGUUGGGCACUCUAGCAAGACUGCCGGUGACAAACCGGAGGAAGGUGGGGAUGACGUCAAAUCAUCAUGCCCCUUAUGACCUGGGCUACACACGUGCUACAAUGGGAAGUACAACGAGUCGCAAAGUCGCGAGGCUAAGCUAAUCUCUUAAAGCUUCUCUCAGUUCGGAUUGUAGGCUGCAACUCGCCUACAUGAAGCCGGAAUCGCUAGUAAUCGCGGAUCAGCACGCCGCGGUGAAUACGUUCCCGGGCCUUGUACACACCGCCCGUCACACCACGAGAGUUUGUAACACCCGAAGUCGGUGAGGUAACCUUUUGGAGCCAGCCGCCUAAGGUGGGAUAGAUGAUUGGGGUG